CCCAAAAAAUAACAGUAGUGUUCCAAUUGCUGCCAAAUCUGAGAUUGAUGAACUGAGUUCAAUAAAAUUUGUUUCACAGUGAUCUGAAGACAGCCGCUCCCAUACCGCGCUACAUAUUCGCCAGAAAUCCAGCGACAACUCCGGAAUCCCAAACGGCAAAAGAAACAAAUACUAUGAAGUUUUGGCCCGCCAAUUGCAAGUUUAAGAACCCUAGAAACGAGUUUUAUGACUUUCCACAAAACUCCCAGAACCCUAGUUCUACAGCAAGCUUUACAGAGGAACACAACUUCCCUCAAACGGAGAGCGCAAACAAAAUCCCUUAAGAAACGAAAAUCAGGAUCUGUUUGGUGAAUAUUUUGUGAAAUAAGGAACGAAAGAUUCGAGAGCAACGGAGGAUUCAAGAAAAACAGAGGGCGAAAGGAAGACACGGAAAGCACAGAUUAAGCAAAAGGUAAAGCGAACAAGAAGGCACAAAGAUUAACAAUGAAAAACGCGUGGCCAACGAGGGCAAAAAGGGCAUUCCACUGUAGAAAAACUGAAACAGUGCGGUCAACAAAGAAGAAACCAAUAAUGCAGCCUUGAAGACAAGGAAAUUGAUGAGUCUUCUGCAAGCACCUUCAAUUGAGGCCCCGGAAAAACAAAAGUGGUCCUGUAACCCUACCAACACGUGAUAGGACGGUGGAAAAGUAGGAGCUGUUUUUUGAAAAAAAACCAAGGGAAGGACGUUUCCAGUGGAAAACCAUGAUGCCAUUAUCUGAUCACUGGACGGCUAGAUUCAAGUUUUGCAAAAGAUCCACAUUAAAGAAAAAGCCAUAUUUGCUUUUCAAUAUUAUGGUAGAAACAAUUAAUUGUAGCUUUUCUCUUUGGAACACAUGCUAGCAACUUUCAUAUUUAAAUUUUCUCCCUCUUUCUUUUUUAUUUUGUUUCUCAUUCCGUAAUGUUAUAAUCAUGAUUCAAACUUUUUAUUUUUAAGAUCACUUUCUAAGCACGAAGUAUACUAAAAUUCAAUCAAAUUCAAAACGUGUAGUAAUAGACAAACCAUGUCAUUCGAUAAACACUAAAAUUUUGUCAAUUUUAAUAACUAUUACUCAUGUAAUCAUACGAUAAACAUCAUUUCAAUUUUCAUAUAUAUUAGUCGCCUACGGAUCUCAAAUAUAAGAAACACAUAGAAUUUUCUACUUAGAAAAUACCUCCAAAGAGAAAAGGAGAGACCCCCGUUUCCUUUUGCAAAAUUCGGAAAACCCCCAAAAUCAAACUACGCGGCAAACUGGCACCAAAAAUAUGGAGGGGAGUUCCGGCGCCUCUUCCGACACCGCAAUCGAAACCCUAAGAACCGGAUGAUGGUGCUUCGGCAACCUCGAACAAGUGGAGGAGAAGAUCCUGAUCCACCCCGCCUUGUCCGACGAAACGCGUACGGUAGUGAACUCAAUGGAACCCGAGCUCACCAACAUGAACCUUAAAUCCAUCUCCGCCAGGUCCAUGCCCGACCCGCAUACGCUCCUAAGGUCCUCUCACCUCCUCGGCCCCAAAGUCCUCCAGGUAAAUCACACCUCUCUGUAUUUCUCGUUAAUUUUUCUUGUCCUCUGUUUGGUUGCUGAGAAAAUAGAUAAAGAGAAAGAAAAUUGUGGUCUCUCCUUUCUGUUUUGUUAUCAAAUGGCUUGGGUAAGGGACGUUGCUAAAAGCAGUACGGAGGAUUUUUCGAGGAGUUUGAGUCGUCGACGGCUUUUGAUGCCCGAUGAUCCCUGACGACGGCCACAGCUGUGGAGUACUCUCAUACCCCGGCAAUCCCUGACGAAGGUUUUCAUUAUUAUUUGUUGUUUGUGGAUGAUUAUUCGCGAUAUUCAUGGAUUUUUUCCAUGAAACAAAAAUCUGAAGUUUUUGCGAUAUUUGUGAAGUUUAAAGCCAAAGUUGAAAAUAUGUUUAACAAAUCCAUAAACACUCUUCAAUGUGACGAAGGUGGUGAAUAUAAGAAUCAUUUUUUUCAAAGGUUUCUUGAUAUUCAUGGUA